GACGAACGCUGGCGGCGUGCCUAAUACAUGCAAGUCGAACGGACAGGCCCUGCGCUUGCGCCUUGCUCGAUUGGCGCACGCGUGUGUAACACGUGUGUAUCCCGCCCCUGACAUUCUGGUAAAUCUUCGAAACUCCGGCUCUUAUCCCAUAUGAGAUCUUGCACCAUGUUGUUGGUUGGAAAGUUUCGGCGGUUGGGGAUGUACUCGCGGCUUAUCAGCUUGUUGGUGGGGUAGUGGCUUUCCAAGGCUUUGACGGGUAGCCGGCCUGAGAGGGUGACCGGCCACAUUGGGACUGAGAUACGGCCCAGACUCGUACGGGAGGCAGCAGUCGGGAAUAUUGCACAAUGGGCGGAAGCCUGAUGCAGCAACGCCGCGUGCGGGAUGACGGCUUUCGGGUUGUAAACCGCUUUCGCAUGUGACGAAGCGUGAGUGACGGUAAUGGGUAAAGAAGCACCGGCUAACUACGUG
rnacentral:rRNA from 1 species